AACGAACGCUGGCGGCAGGCUUAACACAUGCAAGUCGAGCGCCCCGCAAGGGGAGCGGCAGACGGGUGAGUAACGCGUGGGAAUCUACCCUGAACUGCGGAAUAGCUCCGGGAAACUGGAAUUAAUACCGCAUAUGCCCUGAGGGGCAAAGGUUUAUCUGGUUUAGGAUGAGCCCGCGUUGGAUUAGCUAGUUGGUGGGGUAAAGGCCUACCAAGGCGACGAUCCAUAGCUGGUCUAAGAGGAGGAUCAGCCACAUUGGGACUGAGACACGGCCCAAACUCCUACGGGAGGCAGCAGUGGGGAAUAUUGGACAAUGGGCGCAAGCCUGAUCCAGCCAUGCCGCGUGAGUGAUGAAGGCCCUAGGGUUGUAAAGCUCUUUCACCGGGGACGAUAAUGACGGUACCCGGAGAAGAAGCCCCGGCUAACUUCGUGCCAGCAGCCGCAGUAA
rnacentral:rRNA from 1 species